rnacentral:rRNA from 1 species
UACGGAGGAUCCAAGCGUUAUCCGGAAUCAUUGGGUUUAAAGGGUCCGUAGGCGGUUUGGUAAGUCAGUGGUGAAAGCCCAUCGCUCAACGGUGGAACGGCCAUUGAUACUGCCAGACUUGAAUUAUUAGGAAGUAACUAGAAUAUGUAGUGUAGCGGUGAAAUGCUUAGAGAUUACAUGGAAUACCAAUUGCGAAGGCAGGUUACUACUAAUGGAUUGACGCUGAUGGACUAAAGCGUGGGUAGCGAACAGG